rnacentral:sRNA from 1 species
GGUUUCCUCUUCCUGAACACGCUCUUCAUCCAGCGCGGGCGGCACGAGACCACGUGGACCAUCCUGCGGCGCUUCGGCUACAGCGAUGCACUGGAGCUGACAGCCGACUAUCUCUUCCCUCCGCUCCACGUGCCCCCCGGCUGCAGCACUGAGCUCAACCACCUUGGCUACCAGUUUGUGCAAAGAGUAUUUGAGAAGCACGACCAGGUGAGAGCAUGGCGACUCCCCUGCCCCUGCCCCCGCCCCCUCCCCGGCACACACAUCACCGCAUCCCUCCUUCUGCAGGACCGAGACGGCGCCCUCUCGCCUGUGGAGCUGCAAAGCCUCUUCAGUGUGUUCCCAGCAGCCCCCUGGGGCCCCGAGCUCCCACGCACAGUCCGCACAGAGGCCGGCCGGUUGCCCCUGCACGGAUACCUCUGCCAGUGGACGUAAGUGCGGCCCACACCAUGCCCGCCCGCCGCACCACCCUUGCCACCGUAACACUGUGCCUCCCGCCCACCCCCAGCCUGGUGACCUACCUGGACGUCCGGAGCUGCCUUGGGCACCUAGGCUACCUGGGCUACCCCACCCUUUGUGAGCAGGACUCCCAGGCCCAUGCCAUCACAGGUAGGUACCCACCCUCUCUGGGCCUGGGCCCAGCAUCCUGGCAGCCGCCCUAACCCGUGUCUAUCCUCACAGUCACCCGUGAGAAGAGGCUGGACCAGGAGAAGGGACAGACGCAGCGGAGCGUCCUCCUGUGCAAGGUGGUGGGGGCCCGUGGAGUGGGCAAGUCUGCCUUCCUGCAGGCCUUCCUCGGCCGCGGCCUGGAGGUAAGCACCCUAGACUCCCCCACCACCCCAGGGGCUCCAGGAGCAGGGCAGGGCAAUCUGGGGGGCACUGGAGCCAGCGAGUGUCAGGACUUCACCUCCCUUAGCACCAGGACACGAGGGAGCAGCCUCCCGGCUAUGCCAUCGACACAGUGCAGGUCAACGGGCAGGAGAAGUACUUGAUCCUCUGUGAGGUGGGCACAGAUGGUCUGCUGGCCACAUCGCUGGACGCCGCCUGUGACGUUGCCUGCUUGAUGUUUGAUGGCAGUGACCCAAAGUCCUUUGCACAUUGUGCCAGCGUCUACAAGCACCAUUACAUGGACGGGCAGACCCCCUGCCUCUUCGUCUCCUCCAAGGCCGACCUGCCCGAAGGUGUCGCGGUGUCUGGCCCAUCGCCAGCCGAGUUUUGCCGCAAGCACCGGCUACCCGCUCCCAUGC